GUUAGCUUGCUCUCUGGACCUUCAGCCUUCCACCAGCUGAUCAUGCAAUACGAGGGCCUACGUCAGAGGUGAUCUUGAGCUUCCUAACCUCUAGAAUGGGGAAAGAAGAUGCUAUGCUGGAAGCAGUCCUUGGAAAGACCCAUGUAACAAGGAAAUGAAGUCCCCAGCUAACAACCACUGAGGACCUGAGAUCUGUUAACGGCCACAUUAGUGGUCUUGGAAUGGAAUUCUCCAGUACUGAUUGAGUCUUGAGAUUACUGCAAUCUUGAUUGACUGCAUGAGAGACUCUGAGCCUGAACUACCCAUCUAAGAUGCUCCUAGAUUCCUGACCCUCAAGAUCUGUAUCAGAUAGUAAAUGUUAUUGUUUUAAGCUUAA